AGUGAACGCUGGCGGCAGGCCUAACACAUGCAAGUCGAGCGGCAGCGCGUCCGACCACCCUCGGGUGGUCGGAUGGCGGCGAGCGGCGGACGGGUGAGGAAUGCAUCGGAAUCUGCCUCGUUGUGGGGGAUAACGUAGGGAAACUUACGCUAAUACCGCAUACGACCUACGGGUGAAAGUGGGGGACCUUCGGGCCUCACGCGAUGAGAUGAGCCGAUGCCGGAUUAGCUAGUUGGCGGGGUAAAGGCCCACCAAGGCGACGAUCCGUAGCUGGUCUGAGAGGAUGAUCAGCCACACUGGAACUGAGACACGGUCCAGACUCCUACGGGAGGCAGCAGUGGGGAAUAUUGGACAAUGGGGGCAACCCUGAUCCAGCCAUGCCGCGUGUGUGAAGA
rnacentral:rRNA from 1 species